rnacentral:rRNA from 1 species
CACCGCCCGUCACACCAUGAGAGCUGCCUGUACCCAAAGAUAUCUUAGCCAACUUGAAAGAGAGGCGGGUAUUUAAGGUAUGGGGAGUGAUUGGGGUG